GACGAACGCUGGCGGCGUGCUUAACACAUGCAAGUCGAACGGUAAGGCCCUUCGGGGUACACGAGUGGCGAACGGGUGAGUAACACGUGGGUGAUCUGCCCUGCACUUCGGGAUAAGCCUGGGAAACUGGGUCUAAUACCGGAUAGGACUCCUGCCUGCAUGGGUGGGGGUGGAAAGCUUUUGCGGUGUGGGAUGGGCCCGCGGCCUAUCAGCUUGUUGGUGGGGUGAUGGCCUACCAAGGCGACGACGGGUAGCCGGCCUGAGAGGGUGACCGGCCACACUGGGACUGAGAUACGGCCCAGACUCCUACGGGAGGCAGCAGUGGGGAAUAUUGCACAAUGGGCGCAAGCCUGAUGCAGCGACGCCGCGUGAGGGAUGACGGCCUUCGGGUUGUAAACCUCUUUCAGCACCGACGAAGCGCAAGUGACGGUAGGUGCAGAAGAAGGACCGGCCAACUACGUGCCAGCAGCCGCGGUAA
rnacentral:rRNA from 1 species